GCAUGCCCAGGCAGAGAAGUUACAACGCAAACGCUCACUUCCAAAACUCUUUUUGAUUACUGCAGGGCCACGAUUUUGUAGCGAUGCCUUCCGCUCGAUCAUAUGCCCCUCUUAUCAUCUACCGCUCAUGGCCGGCUAGGCCGGUAUUUGGUAGCGAUGCCUUUAAUGUAAUAAUGUCUUUACGCGCUUAUCGUGCUUUUUCAGUGGACGGAGCGACGGUCCGCUCGCAUUAUCAACGGGAUCAGCCGGCCGUGAGCGGUGGAUGAUAAGAAUAGAGUAGAAUAAGUCAUAAUGCCUUGAUACAAAAUCGCGGCCCUGAUCGCUUUGAUAACGCGGGCGGGGCGUCGCUCUGACCCCUGACAAAGCGCGAAAAGUGCAAAAAGGAAUAUCAUCGGAGACGGAAUCGCUACAAAAUCGCGGCCCGCGCGCAUGUGCAUCUGUGUCUGUGUUGUGCGAGUUUGCGUGCGCUGAAAAUUUUUUUAUUGCGCUCAGAGAAAUCUGAUCAUGCCACUCUACAUGACGCGGUGGGCAAAAUGAAUGAACGCCAACAAUCGUGUUCGUUGACCACGUAUACAAAACACACAAACGAUCGAUGUCGAAUUCAUAAUUACUCUCAUGAGUUGGGAUGUCAUUUUAAGAAUGCUUAAGCCUGAUGCAGUUCUCAACAUUUCUUAUCUGUACAACUGUACAACUUUGUACCUUCCACCCAUGGAGGAAGGAAACAACUUGAAAAAAAAAAAAGGUUUUUUUAUCUUCCUCCAUGCUUCCACCCACUACUGUUGUACGGCAUUGCUUUAGUAGUAUUUUUCUUUUCUGUUUUGGUUUUGUUUGGGUGAUGCAGUGGUGGCAGUCGAAGUCGCAUGCCAAUCCGCAUCCAUAGAAUCCACGGCCAUAGCCACAGCUGUCAUCUUAGCGAGAACGACUGCGUUGCACUGUGUUAAGCUCGAGAUGCUUGUAUUCGUUGAAUAUGUAGUGGACAUGACCACUGCGGUUGUCAGGCACACCGCAGUGCAAAACUUUAACCCAGAGAAUGUCGUGGAUUUCGAUCCAAUUGUCCUCUACGACGUGUGGUGGAACGGCGAUGCGACAGAGUGCUGCACAUGGCUGAAACUGAAGAAAUGGUGCUGCACACGUCGAAAAGGCUCAGAAAUCUGUCCUUAGAAAAGGGCAAGAGCACCAAAGGAAUUAUAACUGCCAUGGCCUCUAUGGCACCUUUGUCACAGGAGCAUGGUAAGAGUACAUUUUUUGUACAGCACUGUUCAGUUUCAAGCACCAAUUUUUUCUAGUUGUGCAGUACUUCACACUCACUGAUAUUCGUCCACGCUCAGCAGUGCUUACUCACCGCCACUACCUUACAAAUGGACCUUUUUCCAGUAAGCGACCCCUCUAGCGGCUGUCACUUCAACUAAAUUUGACGGGCAACACACACACGCUCCCACCGCUUCUCGCCUCUACGCAAAGCAUGGUAGCGUUUGACCAAGCAGUCUCUUGCGACGGCUGUCCCUGCUUUUUUUUUCUUCUGUCGCUUGUGUUGCUGAAGCAGCUUCUCAUUGUCCUGCUCUAGCGCGCAUGUAUUUGCUCACAUGUAGCAAUAACACAUUUUACAUUUACUGAUGCAAUGGCAGCAUGCUGAUGCGAUGUGCAGGCCAUUUGUAACCAAGAUUUGAGAGAUGCGCCGGCUUUUGUUCUUCAGCAGCUUGGUCAGUACUUUGACUCAACUGGCGAAGGCAUGUGUGAGCGUGAAACGCGCCGUGGCAGGACUUUCUUCAGGAUAAACUCGACCGUCGUUUUGAGUGGCUCGACUUGAAGGAGGCGGUCAACAGACGCAUGCACGUGCGUACGAGCUUGCCCUCAAGAGCGGGCAUGCAAGCAGCUCACCAUGAUGAACAAACAACAUGCAAAACUUCUGCACACAUACUGCGAGUGCACUGCAGGGCAAGUGUUGUUUUAUAUCGAGAUAUGUAUCGUA